rnacentral:pre_miRNA from 1 species
AAGAAGACAAACCCUAGGUUUCCGUGUCCAACGUUUGAUCGUCCGUCUUAUUUGAAAAAAUUAUAGAAAAAAUUAAAAAGACAAGUCACACAUAAAAUAUUAAUCAUGUUUUAUCAUCUAAUAACAAUGAAAAUACUAAUUAUAAAAUAAUUUUAUAUAAGACGAACAGUCAAACGUUGAACACGGAAACCCAUGAUUUAUCUUUUU